CCUACGGGAGGCAGCAGUGAGGAAUAUUGGUCAAUGGACGAGAGUCGGAACCAGCCAAGGAGCGUGAAGGAUGACUGCCCUAUGGGUUGUAAACUUCUUUUAUAUGGGAAUAAAAUGUUCCACGUGUGGGCUUUUGUAUGUACCAUAUGAAUAAGGAUCGGCUAACUCCGUGCCAGCAGCCGCGGUAAUACGGAGGAUCCGUGCGUUAUCCGGAUUUAUUGGGUGUUAAGGGAGCGUAGGUGGUUUGUUAAUGCAGUUGUGAAAGUUUGGGGCUCAACCGUAAAAGUGCAGUUGAAACUGGCAGUCUUGAGUACGGUAGAGGUGGGCGGAAUUCGUGGUGUAGCGGUGAAAUGCUUAGAUAUCACGAAGAACUCCGAUUGCGAAGGCAGCUCACUGGA
rnacentral:rRNA from 1 species